AUGGCCCCAGAAAGGAGUGGGUCUAAGAAGCAGGAGCUCAACUCUCAGAAAAAGCUAGAGAAGAAGCUCAGCUUCUAUACAAAAGUGAAAGAUGCGGUUACCUCCCUACAGGCCAAAAAGGCUAUCAGUAAGAAAAAGAAACAGAGGAGCCGUCAGAAGAAACUGAAAGCAUAUGAUCUGUCAGCACUUUCUGAGUUCCUUCCACAAACAGCCAGCUCCCAGCAGCAGACGGAAGUAAAGCUUAACCGCAAAUCGAAGCAGGCUUUAGUGCAGCGAGAGUCUGCUCAACUGAAUGCUGUACUGAACAAUGCUCAGUUCCAGCUAGACCCAUUGGCUGCAAUUCAUCAGCAUCUGGUAUCAACACAACCGCCUUCUUCCGUGAAAGACGACGAAUCUGCAAAGAACGCGAAGAUAUCUAGGAAGGACAAGAAAAGGAAAAAGAAGAAGAAAAAUGCUUUGUCGACCCCUCAGUCGAUGGAUAUCUGA
rnacentral:rRNA from 1 species